UGUAGGCCAAAGAAAAGCACCCAUAGCAAACUCUCUUUUGUAGGCCAAAUCACCAUGUGUAGGUAAACCAUACUCCUUCAGGAGCCGGUCCAGCUUCCACUCAGCCAUGUCCUUGUAAUCUUUCUGGGUAUAUCUUGGAUAGUGAAGAGGCAUCUGAAAGAAACUUACAUUACUUUGCUUAGGGCUUUCCAUCUCUCUCUUUUUUCUCAAUACUAGUUAUU
rnacentral:lncRNA from 1 species